UCAGAGUUCUUCGCCCUAAGGAUGGACGUUGGGGAGGACCAGAGUCCGACGGGAGUGUCAGUGGCAUGAUAGGGAUGGUAGCUCGUUACGAGGUGCAUUUGGCCAUAGAUGAAAUCACAGUCACUGCCUUGCGAGAGACGGUCGUUGACUUCAGCUAUCCCUACUUCUUGGAAGGCACCGUGCUCGUUUCCAGGGCUCCUACCAAAAAGGAUCCUACUUUGGCCGUCAUUCGACCUUUCACUCCUUUGGUCUGGUUACUUCUGGUCAUCACAACAUCAUUCCUGGGACCCAUUGUCUACGUCAUCACAGAACUCCAUCGUCUCAUCAGUCCCACAAACGACCCUCUCUCCCGGGUCACUUGGCCUCCUGGAAAAGCAAGGUCUUCAGACAAUGACAGAAGGGACCUUCCAGCACAAAAUGGAAGACAUUCCAGCCUCUCUAAUUACAGCUUCAACAUGUUUCGAAGUCUUGUUGCCCAGGGUGAUCAGACAGAGUCUGAUCGAACGCCCAUAAGAAUAGUUUUGGUGUUCUGGUACAUCUUUUGCCUUGUCAUUUAUUGUAAGUUUUUCUA